CCUACGGGUGGCAGCAGUGAGGAAUAUUGGUCAAUGGGCGCUAGCCUGAACCAGCCAAGUAGCGUGAAGGAUGACUGCCCUAUGGGUUGUAAACUUCUUUUAUAUGGGAAUAAAGUGCAGUAUGUAUACUGCUUUGCAUGUACCUUAUGAAUAAGGAUCGGCUAACUCCGUGCCAGCAGCCGCGGUAAUACGGGGGAUGCAAGCGUUAUCCGGAUUUAUUGGGUUUAAAGGGUGCGUAGGCUGUGAGGUAAGUCAGCGGUGAAAUGCCCCCGCUCAACGGGGUGAAGUGCCAUUGAUACUGCCUUGCUGGAAUGCGGAUGCCGUGGGAGGAAUGUGUGGUGUAGCGGUGAAAUGCAUAGAUAUCACACAGAACACCGAUUGCGAAGGCAUCUCACGAAUCCGCGAUUGACGCUGAUGCACGAAAGCGUGGGUAUCAAACAGGAUUAGAUACCCUUGUAGUC
rnacentral:rRNA from 1 species